CAUAUAAGAGGUCCCGCCUGCCCUGUGACUUAGUAGUUUAACGGCCGCGGUAUUUUGACCGUGCGAAGGUAGCGUAAUCACUUGUCUUUUAAAUGGAGACCUGUAUGAAUGGCAUAACGAGGGCUAAGCUGUCUCCUUUUUCCAGUCAAUGAAAUUAAUCUUCCCGUGCAGAAGCGGGAAUUUACACAUAAGACGAGAAGACCCUAUGGAGCUUUAAACAAAAGGCAGCUCAUAUUAAAACAACCAGACAAAAGGAACAAACCAAAUGAUAUCUGCCCUUAUGUUUUUGGUUGGGGCGACCACGGAGGAACAAAAAUCCCCCAUGUGGAAUAGGAACUCUCCUUCCUCGAAACAAGAGCAACAGCUCUAAUAAACAGAACUUCUGACCUGCAAGAUCCGGCAAGACCGAUCAACGGACCGAGUUACCCUAGGGAUAACAGCGCAAUCCUCUUUUAGAGCCCAUAUCGACAAGAGGGUUUACGACCUCGAUGUUGGAUCAGGACAUCCUAAUGGUGCAGCCGCUAUUAAGGGUUCGUUUGUUCAACGAUUAAAGUCCUACGUGAUCUGAGUUCAGACCGGAGUAAUCCA
rnacentral:rRNA from 1 species